GGGGCGUGGCCAAGCUGGUAAGGCGCCUGACUCUGGAUCAGGUAAUCCUAGGUUCGAAUGAGAUGCCGGACGCCUGUCGCAA
rnacentral:tRNA from 1 species